GCGCUUGUGGUUUAGAGGUAGAAUGCAUCGUUGCCAUCGAUGCGACCCGGGUUCAAUUCCCGGCAGGCGCA
rfam:Oxytricha trifallax strain JRB310 Contig10554.0 macronuclear, whole genome shotgun sequence.